ACAUUACAAAUCACCAUCUUAUUAAAGCAUUUCCUUACUUUGAGAAAAGUUGACAUUCUAAAUUCCCACAGUUAUUACCAAACUGUAAUUCUGAACGUAAAGGGAAAAAAAAUAGUAAAAACAUAUAAGUACCGGAAAAAAUGUAUUGACCAUAUUUAAAUUUAAUCUGAACAAAAUUUCAUUUUUAUGAUGCCCUGACCAGUUACUUUUGAGACAUCCUGUUCAAACCCCAAUUUUAGCCCUGAACCUAAAAGGAGCUACACAGCAGCUGCAGAACACUAGUCUAUAUUCUUCCUUUUCUUUCUUCAUUGAUCAAGGUAAAAUAAUGUAUGUUCGUAUUUCAACCAGACUGUGUAGCAUAAGAAAAUAAGUACAGGUCAUUCUUAACUUAUAACCACAACUGGGACCAGAAUUUCUACUGGUAAGCAUAGUGGUUUCUAAGUAAGUCACAUUCAAAUUUAUGACCUUUUUGCCACAGUUUUUAAGUGAAUCACUGCCGUUGUUAAAUGAGUUGCAUAUCAUUAAGUGAAUCCAGAUUUUCCCCCAGUUGGGAACUGGCUGGAAAGGCCCCCCCAAUCACAUGACCUUGGGGUGCUGCAACCGUUUGUAACUACAUGCCACAGGCCAAGAAUUCGAAUAUUGAUCACGUGACUGUAGGGAUGCUACAAUGUCAUGCGUGCAAGGAUUGAUUGUAAGUCACUUUUUCAGUUUUGUUGUAACUUCGAACAGCCACUCAAUGAAUGGUCAUAAGUCAAGGACAACCUGCACUUCGCCUUGAUGAAACAUGUUAACGGCGGAAUUGCCUUAGUGAAGCGGUCACGCCUUCUAAUUCUUUCACUGCUUGCAGAACUCUUUCAUUCUGGUGUCCUUGUUUUUAAACCCCAUUCCGCUUGUAGCUGUCCAAACUCUUUCCUCCUUCACUCUCUCCCGUUAUUUAUCCACCGUGUUAUUUUUGCUCUCUUCCAUAGGUCAACCUGCUGCGAUCCUUUAGCAGAAGUUUUGAUCAGUGAUGAAGACGGGAACACGAGCAGUUUCACGAUGGACUACAGAAACCCUAAUCCUCCUCCAAGCUAAGAUGACGUACAUUGAAGGAAUGUCCUGACACAAAAUGGAUUGUAUUUCUGGUCCCUGGAUGUGCCUCACACUGAGAUAAUAAAAAAUGUUAGUACCCUUGCCCCAAGUCUCUGGUGGAUCCAAAUAAAACUAACUUCAGAAGCA